rnacentral:rRNA from 1 species
AUGAAAGGAGGUCUUGAUUAUAUAGUUCUUAAAAGUUUAGACGCAGAUGGAAUUCACAUCAUUUCAAGUGUUCCUGGUCAGAGCAUCGGUCUUGAUCAUUACAUACGGCAGGUUGAUGAUAUGGUUGAGGAAUUUACUGAAACCAAUCUUAUGAUGGAGAAGACUGGGGACUUCACAAUGAAAAUAAAGAAGCUCUUUCGACUUAUGGAUGUUUCUCCACCCACACCAGCAAAGGCCGCUCGCCACUGCCGUCGCAAGCAAGUGUUGCCCCACUGUUUCCUCACGCCAAAGACUGAAGCAUCGCCGCUGCUGUCUCUUUGCGCACCGCAGACGUGCAUCGACCCGCAAUUCUUUUUUCACGCGCCGAAGACCCAAAAUGUGGAGCUCAACAGGUUACUCGAAAUCCUGACAUGA